CAGACCUAAACUAAACCCUAAAACAUCAAUUCUCUGAGUUCUUGAAGUCUAAGAAGGAAAUCAAGCUUAAUUGGUGCUCGUUUUGGCAACGACGGUGCAAGUAGAAAGUAAGGCAGCUUGUGACGUGAUUUUGGAGUAGGUUUGGUUGUUGUGUGUUAGCAAGACAAUCUACAGUACAGUUGACUAGAGAGGGAGUUGGGCUUAGAGUUUGGGCUUGAGACAUAGAGGUUGGCCACAUCUCUGAGUUUUGAGAUGCCUUGAUGUUUUUGUUUAGAAUAAACUUAUUUGUACCUAAAUAUAU